UACCCGCAGCACAAGUGGUGGUCAUUAUUAUUGGGCCUAAAGCGUCCGUAGCUGGUUUGUUAAAUGCCUGGGUAAAUCGAUGCGCUUAACGUAUCGAACUCCGGGUAGACUGGCAAACUCGAGACCGGGAGAGGCAUGGGCUACUCGCGGGGUAGGGGUAAAAAUCCUGUAAUCCUGCGGGGAGGACCAGUGGCGAAGGCGCCAUGCUAGAACGGCUCUGACAGUGAGGGACGAAGCCCUGGGGCGCAAACCGGG
rnacentral:rRNA from 1 species